ACAACCCUAGGAGUGGGUGCCAUUC
rnacentral:miRNA from 15 species